rnacentral:lncRNA from 1 species
GGCCUCCAUCUUGAAAACGGAAAAUAAAAACAGCAGACCUAUGAAGGUCGAAGGGGAAGAAAAGCUGUAUCGAUUGUUGAGAUCUGGCGACUUGUUUAAAUUUCAUCAGCCUCACUUCUAUGAACUCUCAGAGCUGAUUACCAACUCCUACCACUGUUAACCCUCAUCCAGGAAAAAGCUUAUGUCUUUAACAUUCUGAGUGGGCUUCAGCAUCCUUGCAUAUGUUCAAUUCUUAAAAACCUGUUGAAAUAAAAGAUCAGGAGACAUAGGAAGGAUGCCAGAAGAGAGCGUGGCCUCAUGUGUACCAGCUCUCUGCUCUCCUUUGCCUUGGGACGUUCCAUCCCUGGAAGUUUCCCUGCCCACAUCUUUGUAGAGAGUCCAUUCUCCAAGCUUCAGUGUGUCAUCUGUGAGGACUGUGACCAACCUGGUACAUCGCCUCAGGGCAUUCAUUUCAGGCUCCUUCUAAAUGGUCAAGUUUUCAAGAUUGUUUUGGCUCUAGCAAAACAAGUUGGAACAUUCACAUCAUCCACUGCACUGAUGAGGAAACUGAAACAGAAAAUCCAGAGUAAAUUCCACCAGGCCACACAGCAAGGUCUGAUAGAGCCAGGAGAGACUUUAUGAAAUCCAGACUCUCACACUAAUGCUCUAUCAGCUAGACCUCCAUGUGAGUCUCCCCAAUGUAGGUAGGAAGUGCUUUCCC